AGGUUGUGUUGAGGACACCUCCUCAAGAGCUUUUUGAACCUUUCCCAAGCUUCAUAAAGAUUCUCAUCGGUGGAUUGAGCAAAAGUCAUGAUGUCGUUCUUGAGCUU